GCGGGCAUAGCUCAGCUGGAUAGAGUAUUUGGCUUCGAACCAAAGGGUCGGGGGUUCGAGUCCCUCUGCCCGCGCCA
rnacentral:tRNA from 1 species